rnacentral:rRNA from 1 species
UACGUAGGGGGCAAGCGUUGUCCGGAAUUAUUGGGCGUAAAGAGCGUGUAGGCGGUCCGGUAAGUCAGCUGUGAAAGCCAAGGGCUCAACCCUUGAAUGCCGGUUGAUACUGUCGGGCUAGAGUCCGGAAGAGGCGAGUGGAAUUCCCGGUGUAGCGGUGAAAUGCGCAGAUAUCGGGAGGAACACCAAUGGCGAAGGCAGCUCGCUGGGACGGUACUGACGCUGAGACGCGAAAGCGUGGGGAGCAAACAGG